AGAAUAAUUUCUAGAACGAGGUAGGGGCAGAGAAAAUUCAAAAGUUACAAUCGAUUUCAAAGUUGACCAAGCCAAUAUUCUUCAGUGAUACAUUGCAAAUGCCUUUCAAAGUUCAAUAUUACAUUUAACACAUUGAGUGUUUGAGCUCAUUUUCUUCAUUUUAAAGCUAAAAGCUCUUUGUCAACCCUCCCUGAGCAAUCCUAUGAGACCCGUAAAACGACAUAUAUACAUAUACAUAUGUAAGCAUCAAAUAAAAAUCAGAGGAUGAAGAGGCUGUCUUUCUUCACUUCUUGGCAAACCCAAUUAAGAAUUUUUGGCCAUUUUAAACAUGAUUUAAUUGGAGAUCGACUAGGACUUAUAGCUAGGUUGCCUAGAAAUUAAGUAGUCAAUUAAUUGUUCUUUAGCUUGCCCUAUUUUACUUGACCACGCAAGCUUGAAAGGAUGUGACCACACAUAUAUAUUGAUAUAUAAUAUAAGGGGAUAAUUUUUUUCGAUUGGGUAUGGUGCAUCUCAACAAAUCAAAGUCAAAUUGAUGGGAAGGGAGGCAAAUUAAUGUUUGUAUAAAAACAAAGUUAAUUUGAAGUAGAUAACCUAGCUAGCAUUUUUUUUUUUUUUUUGGAUAAAUCCUAGCUAGCUAUUUAGGUAUGUUUUAGUCCAAUGAAGAAAUCAAUGUGGCAAAAAUUUCUAGCUUGGGAGAUGUUGGUCUUUUUGCACAAAAGCAAACAAAAUCAAGUAGUUCACACAUUAUAUUCCGGUAAGUAGAAGGUGUUAAUUUAUAAGUGGUAAGUCAGAAAAAGUUGCUUGUAUUGACAGCUUCGAAUCUCAAAGUGUUGCACACUUGAAAGAAACUUCCUCCAAAAAAGGCCCAUCAAAUACCAACAAAAAGAUAGGUUUCUUUGGGCAUGGGAACCAAUUGGCCAGCCCUCGAGCUUUUGCUUGGUAUCAUCUUCUAUUCUCUUGUAAAAAGCUGUCUUUUUUUUAACCCCCACUUCAUUUCUACGAAACUUACAAGUUUUCAUAGGGUUCUACUUCUAGGAGAAGCGUUUUUUUGGAGUGUGUCUCAUGCAAAGGCCAAAAAAAUGAGGUUUUGGUUCAAUAAGAAGAAGCUCAACAAAGUUGGAAGCAGAAGCUGUGGCUGGUCCAGUUGCCACUGACAAUCACAUGCUGGUUCAUUAUCUUUCUCACUUUAGAGAAACAACCACAUGGUUUUUUAGAUUUAUUAUUGCAGUACGUUGCACGUACUGAGUAAUUUGUUUGUUCUUUUACUUAUUUAUUUAUUUCAGGCUCACCGAAAUAAGAAAAGACUAAUUGGGUUUGCUUUAAUUCAAUUGCUGAAGUAGUCGUACUGAUAGUACAUAAGAGUGUUAACUUUUAACGAUUACGGACAAUAGUUCUACUAUUUUCAAUCAUUGGAAUUUGGAAAACUACAAAUCAAUUUGACUCUAUUUUCAAUGAUGAACAAAAUGGCGGUUUUCAUAUACCAAAAAACACAAAAAGACAGUUCUGAUUCACCUAAAGUUGAAAUUUUUUGGUUUCAGAUGGAGGAGAAGGGACCUUGUAAUUUCCUACUCAAACAGGGCCUAGUUACGUGGAUCCAUCAGUAUUUUUGUGACUGUUAACCAAUCUUUCCAUAGUGUGGGUGUAUACAGAACACAGUGUACCUUAAAAGACACCAAUUAACAUCAUCUCAGCAAAUUCCAAAGUCCAUGGGGCCUAUAGCACAAGGCCAACAAUUCUCUUGCUUUGGUGGGCAUUAUACUUAUAUGGUCUUUUUCUCAAUGCAUAGUAGGAAAACAUUGCUGUUUGGCCUCUGUUUUUCCAGACAAACAUUCAGGCUAUAUUUGAUGCAAGACUUGGCAUCAUAAGGUUGACUUGCUGAGACAAUGAUUUGGGAACUGGUCCAGGUAAUUUGUUGUUGUAUCUAAAAGGAGAUUAUAUUAAAGGAGUAUGUUGGAAUGUAACCAAAUUUGAGUGCCCAUUUUGCUCUUGUGGAUUUUGUCGUCUAUUUUUUUGGUUUUUCCCAUUUUAACAACGAAAAAAGAUUGAAUAUAAAUUACAGGGAGAUAUUUUUCCACAA